AUUUGGUAUUUGUUUCUCGGGGCGCAUUCGAGUAAAAGCUUAUACACUGCCGUUGGGGCUACUCGGGAAUUUCACACAAAAAAUAGUUAUUUUUUUAAUCGAGGGAGAAAGCGGUGUUGUGCUUUGACUUGGGUCCUUGUGAGGCCGUAGCACGCUUUUGAAAAAAAAUAUGCCUCCCGUGAUGCGAGGAAUGGUGACGAGGGCAAUGAGAAGAGAUAUUAUAGAAGCUCUUUCAGUUGCCUUUGCAGCAGGAAUGGGAUACAAGCUCUUUGUUGCAUGGCCAAGAAGGAAGGCAUACGAAAACUACUACAAAAAGCUGGACCCUGACGCAGAAGCCAAAUGGAUUGAAAAACAAAUGACAUAAUAAUGUUGAAUCUACGAACUCCGGGGAGGGAUAAGCAAUGGAACGUGUGCAGUGGACCAUACAUAUUUCUAUAUCUAUUUUGAGUAGAUGGAAAAACAUCUUAUAAAAUAAGAGCCAUUCAGUAGACAAAUCAAGUCUACGGACAUUUUGUUUAUACAGUAAAUAAUAUUUUUCAAUACCAUUUCCACUAUUAUAUCUCAGGAUUUUUUCGACCUUUUAUGUAAAAUAUCUUAUUUAAUAAUAACAAUAAAAAUCUUUAAGAU